UACGGGGGGAGCAAGCGUUGUUCGGAUUUACUGGGCGUAAAGGGCGCGUAGGCGGCGCAACAAGUCACUUGUGAAAUCUCAGAGCUUAACUCUGGACGGUCAAGUGAUACUGUCGUGCUAGAGUGCAGAAGGGGCAACUGGAAUUCUCGGUGUAGCGGUGAAAUGCGUAGAUAUCGAGAGGAACACCUGCGGCGAAGGCGGGUUGCUGGGCUGAUACCGACGCUGAUGCGCGAAAGCCAGGGGAGCGAACGGG
rnacentral:rRNA from 1 species